AACGAACGCUGGCGGCAUGCCUAACACAUGCAAGUCGAACGAGACCUUCGGGUCUAGUGGCGCACGGGUGCGUAACGCGUGGGAACCUGCUCUUAGGUUCGGAAUAACUCCCCGAAAGGGGUGCUAAUACCGGAUAAUGUCUUCGGACCAAAGAUUUAUCGCCUUUGGAUGGGCCCGCGUUGGAUUAGCUAGUUGGUAGGGUAAAAGCCUACCAAGGCGACGAUCCAUAGCUGGUCUGAGAGGAUGAUCAGCCACACUGGGACUGAGACACGGCCCAGACUCCGACGGGAGGAAGCAGAAGGGAAUAUUGGACAAUGGGCGAAAGCCUGAUCCAGCAAUGCCGCGUGAGUGAUGAAGGCCUUAGGGUUGUAAAGCUCUUUUACCCGGGAUGAUAAUGACAGUACCGGGAGAAUAAGCUCCGGCUAACUCCGUG
rnacentral:rRNA from 1 species